UUAUGGCCAUAUCACGUUGAAACAUUGGUUCCCAUACGAUCACCGAAGUUAAGCAACGUCGAACCUAGAAGGGUGACCGCUUGUGAAUACCAGGUGCUGUAA